CUCUUUGUGUCACUGUAGGACAAUGGAGUUGGACUUCUAAUCCAAAGAUCGUGGGUUCAAAUCCCACCAGGGAUG